AUAGACAAAAAAUAAAUAAAUAAAUAAUGGACCGACACAGAGAAGAUCAGCAUGGCCCCUGCACAAGGAUGGCACGCAAAUUCUCGAAGCGUUCCGUAUUAAU